rnacentral:rRNA from 1 species
AUGGAUGUCACCAUCAUUCUUGAAGCCAUGGCCAAUCAGGAGACAUGGUUUUGGGAUGCCUACAUCUUGCAACGACAUCAAUGUGCUCCAGCUAUCACCACUCUUUGGGGAAUCACCACCGGCGUAGUUUCAAGCAAAUGGCCUCACAUACAACAUGGGCUACUACCUAGCGGAUGGAAUAUAUCCGAAGUGGGCAACCUUGCGAGUUCAAUUUCAAGCCCCCAAGGUAAGAAAGAACUUCAAUUCCAUUAUGCUCAAGCAGUUGCUAGGAAAGAUGUCGAGAGGGCAUUCGGGAUUUUGCGAGCCCAGUUUGCUAUUGUGCGAGGACCGCCUAUGUUUUGGGAUCAAGAAAUCCUUUGGCACAUUAUGACAACCGCCCUGAUCAUGCACAACAUGAUCAUUGAGCAUGAGCGUGGGAAAGAUUUGGAUUACUCCUAUGAAUUGAUCGGAAAGCCGGUGUAUCCGCGUAGAAGGGAAGGCCACAUCUGA